GAUAUAGCGUUCCCUGGUCAAGCUGAAGACCUGGAGUCAAUUCCUCACAUGGGCACAUUGUGUGAAGCCCAUUUCUGAUGUCCCCUGCCGUGAUAUUGCUGGAGUAAAAAAAACCCAACUUAAUCACUUACUUGGUAAACAUUGAAGGUCACAUGCAACCAAAAAUCAAACAUAAUUAAAACACAAUUAUCACUUAUUC